UUCUAGCCCCGAUUGAAGUGAAAAUCCUUUGCUUUAAAGCAAAGAUUGUAACGGAAAGCGGGAAUAGCU
rnacentral:sRNA from 1 species